rnacentral:rRNA from 1 species
CGCGUAGGUGGUUCAGUCAGUCAGAUGUGAAAGCCCCGGGCUCAACCUGGGAACUGCACCUGAUACUGCUGAGCUAGAGUACGGUAGAGGGCAGUGGAAUUUCCGGUGUAGCGGUGAAAUGCGUAGAGAUCGGAAGGAACACCAGUGGCGAAGGCGACUGCCUGGACUGAUACUGACACUGAGGUGCGAAAGCGUGGGUAGCAAACA